CUAGUGACAGGACAGGGGGAAGUAACAAAGGGGUACUGUGAACUGCUUGGAAAGGGGUCCACAUCCCAUGUUGGGCUUGAACUCAUGACCCAGAGAUCAAGAGUUGUACAUUCUACCAGAAGAGCCAGCCAGAUCCUUAUGAGGACCUAGGAAAAUCUGAUGAUUCUUCUAAGAAACUGGGCUACAGCAAGGAAAAAACCCAGCGGAGAGAAGGUUAAGUUUUUACAAUGGAGAUGUACGUGAAGACGAAAACUAACAAUUGGGAUAAAAUACAUAAGAAUGAUGGGUCACCUAGAGAUGUCAACAAAAAGAAACACUAGGGAGGUCCAGCGCUGGAACCAAAAAAGGAAAACAAACUGAGGGCACCAGAACAGAAUUCCACCACAGACAGACAGACAUCUGUAACACAACUAACAUUUUUUUAUUUCCACGCUGAAUCCCUACGUUGUACAUCUGAAACUAAUGUAACACUGUAUGUUA